GGACCAGACUCCUACGGGAGGCAGCAGUGAGGAAUAUUGGUCAAUGGCCGGAAGGCUGAACCAGCCAAGCCGCGUGAAGGACGAAGGUGCCAAGCAUUGUAACCUUCUUUUGUCAAGGGACAAAAUCAGGCUCGAGAGCCUGACCGAGGGUACUUGAAGAAAAAGCAUCGGCUAACUCCGUGCCAGCAGCCGCGGUAAUACGGAGGAUGCGAGCGUUAUCCGGAUUUAUUGGGUUUAAAGGGUGCGUAGGGGGGUUGUUAAGCCGGGGUUAAAACCCCGGGCCCCACCCCCGGCGAGCCGUUGAAACUGGCUGUCUUGAGAUGUCGAGAGGUAUGCGGAAUGCGCAGUGUAGCGGUGAAAUGCUUAGAUAUCGCGCAGAACCCCGAUUGCGAAGGCAGCGUACCGGCUCCACACUGACGCUGAGGCACGAAAGCGUGGGUAUCGAACAGGAUUAGAUACCCUUGUA
rnacentral:rRNA from 1 species